GAUCAUGGCUCAGGAUGAACGCUAGCGGCAGGCCUAACACAUGCAAGUCGAGGGGUAACAGGGCGUAGCAAUACGCCGCUGACGACCGGCGCACGGGUGCGUAACGCGUAUGCAACCUGCCCGUAACAGGGGAAUAACGGGGAGAAAUCUCCACUAAUGCCCCAUAUACUUGCUGGUUCGCAUGUUCCGGCAAGGAAAGCUUUCUGUGGUUACGGAUGGGCAUGCGUGACAUUAGCUAGUUGGUAAGGUAACGGCUUACCAAGGCGUCGAUGUCUAGGGGAGCUGAGAGGCUAAUCCCCCACACUGGUACUGAGACACGGACCAGACUCCUACGGGAGGCAGCAGUGAGGAAUAUUGGUCAAUGGAGGGAACUCUGAACCAGCCAUGCCGCGUGAGGGAGGAAGGCCCUACGGGUCGUAAACCUCUUUUGCCCCGGGGCAAUAAGGGCCGUGCGCGGUCCGAUGAGAGUACGGGGCGAAUAAGCAUCGGCUAACUCCGUGCCAGCCGCGGC
rnacentral:rRNA from 1 species